rnacentral:rRNA from 1 species
GGGUUGUGAGGUUAAGCGACUAAGCGUACACGGUGGAUGCCCUGGCAGUCAGAGGCGAUGAAGGACGUGCUAAUCUGCGAAAAGCGUCGGUAAGGUGAUAUGAACCGUUAUAGCCGGCGAUGUCCGAAUGGGGAAACCCAGUGCAAUUCGUUGCACUAUCGUUAACUGAAUACAUAGGUUAACGAGGCGAACCGGGGGAACUGAAACAUCUAAGUACCCCGAGGAAAAGAAAUCAACCGAGAUUCCCCCAGUAGCGGCGAGCGAACGGGGAGCAGCCCGGAGUCUGAAUCAGCUUGUGUGUUAGUGGAAGCGUCUGGAAAGUCGCAGGGUACAGGGUGAUACUCCCGUACACUAAAACACACAGGCUGUGAACUCGAAGAGUAGGGCGGGACACGUGGUAUCCUGUCUGAAUAUGGGGGGACCAUCCUCCAAGGCUAAAUACUCCUGACUGACCGAUAGUGAACCAGUACCGUGAGGGAAAGGCGAAAAGAACCCCGGCGAGGGGAGUGAAAAAGAACCUGAAACCGUGUACGUACAAGCAGUAGGAGCCCACUAGUUGGGUGACUGCGUACCUUUUGUAUAAUGGGUCAGCGACUUAUAUUCUGUAGCAAGGUUAACCGUAUAGGGGAGCCGCAGGGAAACCGAGUCUUAACUGGGCGUUAAGUUGCAGGGUAUAGACCCGAAACCCGGUGAUCUAGCCAUGGGCAGGUUGAAGGUUGGGUAACACUAACUGGAGGACCGAACCGACUAAUGUUGAAAAAUUAGCGGAUGACUUGUGGCUGGGGGUGAAAGGCCAAUCAAACCGGGAGAUAGCUGGUUCUCCCCGAAAGCUAUUUAGGUAGCGCCUCGUGAAUUCAUCUUCGGGGGUAGAGCACUGUUUCGGCUAGGGGGUCAUCCCGACUUACCAACCCGAUGCAAACUACGAAUACCGAAGAAUGUUAUCACGGGAGACACACGGCGGGUGCUAACGUCCGUCGUGAAGAGGGAAACAACCCAGACCGCCAGCUAAGGUCCCAAAGUCAUGGUUAAGUGGGAAACGAUGUGGGAAGGCCCAGACAGCCAGGAUGUUGGCUUAGAAGCAGCCAUCAUUUAAAGAAAGCGUAAUAGCUCACUGGUCGAGUCGGCCUGCGCGGAAGAUGUAACGGGGCUAAACCAUGCACCGAAGCUGCGGCAGCGACACUAUGUGUUGUUGGGUAGGGGAGCGUUCUGUAAGCCGUUGAAGGUGGCCUGUGAGGGUUGCUGGAGGUAUCAGAAGUGCGAAUGCUGACAUAAGUAACGAUAAUGCGGGUGAAAAACCCGCACGCCGGAAGACCAAGGGUUCCUGUCCAACGUUAAUCGGGGCAGGGUGAGUCGACCCCUAAGGCGAGGCCGAAAGGCGUAGUCGAUGGGAAACAGGUUAAUAUUCCUGUACUUGGUGUUACUGCGAAGGGGGGACGGAGAAGGCUAUGUUGGCCGGGCGACGGUUGUCCCGGUUUAAGCAUGUAGGCGGAUGUUCCAGGUAAAUCCGGAACGUUACUAACGCUGAGGUGUGAUGACGAGGCACUACGGUGCUGAAGUGACAAAUGCCCUGCUUCCAGGAAAAGCCUCUAAGCAUCAGGUAACAUCAAAUCGUACCCCAAACCGACACAGGUGGUCAGGUAGAGAAUACCAAGGCGCUUGAGAGAACUCGGGUGAAGGAACUAGGCAAAAUGGUGCCGUAACUUCGGGAGAAGGCACGCUGAUGGUAGGUGAAGUGACUUGCUCAUGGAGCUGAAAUCAGUCGAAGAUACCAGCUGGCUGCAACUGUUUAUUAAAAACACAGCACUGUGCAAACACGAAAGUGGACGUAUACGGUGUGACGCCUGCCCGGUGCCGGAAGGUUAAUUGAUGGGGUUAUCCUCACGGAGAAGCUCUUGAUCGAAGCCCCGGUAAACGGCGGCCGUAACUAUAACGGUCCUAAGGUAGCGAAAUUCCUUGUCGGGUAAGUUCCGACCUGCACGAAUGGCGUAAUGAUGGCCAGGCUGUCUCCACCCGAGACUCAGUGAAAUUGAACUCGCUGUGAAGAUGCAGUGUACCCGCGGCAAGACGGAAAGACCCCGUGAACCUUUACUAUAGCUUGACACUGAACACUGGUCCUUGAUGUGUAGGAUAGGUGGGAGGCUUUGAAGUGUGGACGCCAGUCUGCAUGGAGCCGUCCUUGAAAUACCACCCUUUAAUGGCUGGUGUUCUAACGUGGGCCCGUAAUCCGGGUUGCGGACAGUGUCUGGUGGGUAGUUUGACUGGGGCGGUCUCCUCCUAAAGAGUAACGGAGGAGCACGAAGGUCAGCUAAUCCUGGUCGGACAUCAGGAGGUUAGUGCAAUGGCAUAAGCUGGCUUGACUGCGAGCGUGACGGCGCGAGCAGGUGCGAAAGCAGGUCAUAGUGAUCCGGUGGUUCUGAAUGGAAGGGCCAUCGCUCAACGGAUAAAAGGUACUCCGGGGAUAACAGGCUGAUACCGCCCAAGAGUUCAUAUCGACGGCGGUGUUUGGCACCUCGAUGUCGGCUCAUCACAUCCUGGGGCUGAAGUAGGUCCCAAGGGUAUGGCUGUUCGCCAUUUAAAGUGGUACGCGAGCUGGGUUUAGAACGUCGUGAGACAGUUCGGUCCCUAUCUGCCGUGGGCGCUGGAGAAUUGAGGGGGGCUGCUCCUAGUACGAGAGGACCGGAGUGGACGCAUCACUGGUGUUCGGGUUGUCAUGCCAAUGGCAUUGCCCGGUAGCUAAAUGCGGAAGAGAUAAGUGCUGAAAGCAUCUAAGCACGAAACUUGCCCCGAGAUGAGUUCUCCCUGACUCCUUGAGAGUCCUGAAGGAACGUUGAAGACGACGACGUUGAUAGGCCGGGUGUGUAAGCGCAGCGAUGCGUUGAGCUAACCGGUACUAAUGAACCGUGAGGCUUAACCUUACAACGCCGAAG